rnacentral:tRNA from 1 species
GAGGAGACAGCUCAGUGGUAGAGUGUGUGCUUAGCAUGCACGACGUCCUAAGUUCAAUCCCCAGUCCCCCCA